rnacentral:rRNA from 1 species
UACGAAGGGGGCUAGCGUUGUUCGGAAUCACUGGGCGUAAAGCGCAUGCAGGCGGAUCGUUAAGUCGGGGGUGAAAUCCCGAGGCUCAACCUCGGAACUGCCUCCGAUACUGGCGAUCUUGAGUCCGGAAGAGGUGAGUGGAAUUGCGAGUGUAGAGGUGAAAUUCGUAGAUAUUCGCAAGAACACCAGUGGCGAAGGCGGCUCACUGGUCCGGUACUGACGCUGAGAUGCGAAAGCGUGGGGAGCAAACAGG